rnacentral:lncRNA from 1 species
CAGUGUCCCCUGUGUAUAAUGGGAGCUCCGUAAAUGUCUGUUUUCAUUAUUGAAGAUGGGGGUCAUCUGGCUUUCCUGACUGGCUCUGGUUGUCUACAUUCAGCUGAGCCCCUCUUCUGUUAAUUGGAGAAUAUAAUGGUCAAUGCAUGGGAGUUCCUGGCGCUAGGACCGUGUGUGCAUGUUGGUCUUGGGGUGUGCAAUAAAAACCAAAUGCAGAGCAGCAAUAAAAUUCCCAGAUCUCAAGAAAUCAGAAUUCACUGCUACAGUGAAAAUUCUCUUGUGAAACUGAGCUAGGCGUUUGGGACAAAGUUGUCUUCUCAAGAAACCAGGCCUGGGAAUGGGUCUGUACCUCUGAGGCAACGCCUGGAGGGCUUCCUUGCACCUCUCAGAAGCCACGGUACUUACACACCUAAGCAGACUUGUUUCUGCUCCACUGGCAGUUGGAUGACGCACAAGCAGAGCAAGCAGGAAGCCUUGCUCCUUGAGAAUCACCGUACGUAUCUGAGAAAACUCCGGCAGCUCUGGUGUCCACACGACUGGCUUGCAAGUCUCUUUGAUGUGACGACGUUCACAGGGGCCUUGAACCUACUGAACUCUCUGUGUCUUGCAGUCUACCACCCCC